GCCUACGGGACGCAGCAGUGGGGAAUAUUGGGCAAUGGGCGCAAGCCUGACCCAGCAACGCCGCGUGAAGGAAGAAGGCUUUCGGGUUGUAAACUUCUUUUAUCAGGGACGAAACAAAUGACGGUACCUGAUGAAUAAGCCACGGCUAACUACGUGCCAGCAGCCGCGGUAAUACGUAGGUGGUAAGCGUUAUCCGGAUUUACUGGGUGUAAAGGGAGCGCAGGCGGCACGGCAAGCCUGAUGUGAAAGCCCGCGGCCCAACCGCGGGACUGCAUUGGGAACUACCGGGCUGGAGUGCCGGAGAG
rnacentral:rRNA from 1 species